UACGAACUGUGCAAACGUUAUUCGGAUUCACUGGGCUUAAAGGGUGCGUAGGCGGCCAUGUAAGUAGGGUGUGAAAUCCCCCCGGCUUAACCGGGGAACUGCGCCCUAAACUGUAUGGCUGGAGUGAGAUAGGGGUGUGUGGAACUUCCGGUGGAGCGGUGAAAUGUGUUGAUAUCGGAAGGAACGCCGGUGGCGAAAGCGACACACUGGGUCUCAACUGACGCUGAGGCACGAAAGCC
rnacentral:rRNA from 1 species